AAAAGAAACCAACAGGGAUUGCCUUAGUAGCGGCGAGUGAAGCGGCAAAAGCUCAAAUUUGAAAUCUGGCACUUUCAGUGUCCGAGUUGUAAUUUGAAGAAGGUAUCUUUGGGUCUGGCUCUUGUCUAUGUUUCUUGGAACAGAACGUCACAGAGGGUGAGAAUCCCGUGCGAUGAGAUGUCCCAGACCUAUGUAAAGUUCCUUCGAAGAGUCGAGUUGUUUGGGAAUGCAGCUCUAAGUGGGUGGUAAAUUCCAUCUAAAGCUAAAUAUUGGCGAGAGACCGAUAGCGAACAAGUACAGUGAUGGAAAGAUGAAAAGAACUUUGAAAAGAGAGUGAAAAAGUACGUGAAAUUGUUGAAAGGGAAGGGCUUGAGAUCAGACUUGGUAUUUUGUAUGUUACUCUCUCGGGGGUGGCCUCUACAGUUUACCGGGCCAGCAUCAGUUUGAGCGGAGGAUAAGUGCAAAGAAAUGUGGCACUGCUUCGGUAGUGUGUUAUAGUCUUUGUCGAUACUGCCAGCUUAGACUGAGGACUGCGGCUUCGGCCUAGGAUGUUGGCAUAAUGAUCUUAAGUCGCCCGUCUUAA
rnacentral:rRNA from 1 species